AGAGUUUGAUCCUGGCUCAGAACGAACGCUGGCGGCGUGGUUCAGGCAUGCAAGUCGAACGAUCCCGCAAGGGAUAGUGGCAGAAGGGUGAGUAACGCGUAGGUAAUCUACCCUCGAAACGGGGAUAACAUCUCGAAAGAGGUGCUAAUACCCGAUGACAUAAUCUGGUCGCAUGAUCGGAUUAUCAAAGGUGGCUCGCAAGGGCUGCCGCUCGUGGAGGAGCCUGCGACCUAUCAGCUAGUUGGUGGGGUAACGGCCUACCAAGGCAAUUGACGGGUAGCUGGUCUAAGAGGACGGUCAGCCACAUUGGGACUGAGACACUGCCCAGACUCCUACGGGAGGCUGCAGUCGAGGAUCUUUAGCAAUGCCCGAAAGGGUGACUAUGCGACGCCGCGUGCAGGAUGAAGGCCUUCGGGUCGUAAACUGCUGUCAGGGAGGAAGAAACCUUACGUGUUAAUAGCGCGUAAGCUGACAUCACUCCCAAAGAGC
rnacentral:rRNA from 1 species